GGGAACUAAGAUCCUAAAAGCCACUCGUGGGUAGUCAAAGUAGAAAACUUGUAGGGCUUUAGCUUUGAGCAAAUGAAGGUAGAAAGGUAGAUAAUUCUUUAUAAAUAGUAAAACAGCUCCAAUCCCCACCUGCACCCACAAAAAGGCCAGUUUGACACAGCUUAGUAAGCAGACUAGAACUAGGGAUCCAGACCUUCCACUGAGCCACCUGGGAAGCCCCAAACUGGGUAGAAUUCAAUUUAAGUGCCACAAAAGGAAGCAACUGAAAGGAUCCUGGCCACUCCCUGCUUCCCUAAGGAAAGCUGGUAGCUGCUCUGAUAAAAAAGCUCUGAUACUGCUGGUAAGAUCACUUCUUCCUACCCCUCCUCUGCACUGCCAGCCCUCCGCUACAGAAGCUAAAAAAUGUCAAUACUUCCUCUCCCAGGCCCUCUGCAGCCAAGCAUGGCCAAGUUCCAAGUUCCAACUGCCAAGACAAAGCUGGCACUCUUGCGGGGAAGGGAGAGUGUCUGAGGAAGCUUUUACUUCUUUACAAAAGGGCCAGGCCCAAGAAGAGUGGCCACAGGACUGCCCUCCUCCACGUUCCCGCCGAUACAUCCAGUUCUAACAAAUUCUAUAGUCUCCAGUUUUAAACAUCACUUUGGAUUUUGCUAAGAAGACGCGCGACAGAGACCCAGCCGCUGCACAGGUCAGUGCCCAGGCUCAACGGAACCAUCUGAAACGGAACAAUUUAUGUCUGAUUGUGCCUCUUACACAGACACUGCUCGUGUCGGCUGUUGGAUGUGGUUUCACGCAGUCAGAACGCAAAGAACUGAAUUGUCAACACAGUUAAGCACACUUUAUCAUUGCUAAUGUGACAGAGAACCAUCACAGAACCAAUGCACCCUACAUAAAAUAAUUAGUGGAUGGUUCCUAGAAUGAUACAAAGGCUUUAAGACACACUGCCUUUUUGAAACGCUCAAUGUAUUUAUAAGCUGAAGAGCACAUGUUUCCGCAGUCCGCAUAGCAUGAGCUCUAAAUGGAGCAGACCCUCAACCAAUGCUGGUUAACUAACAAAUUCCUCUGCAGAAGGCAGAACAAGCAGCAGCCACGCCUCCCACCCAGGCUUCUGUUGAAACUGACGAGUCCUGUUGGGUUUCUGUCAUCAUUACCGUCCUUCCCCGCAGGUCAAGGCCGGUUCUCACUUGAUGGUUUGAGUCACAUGAACCUGCCUUCCUUUCAGAUUGGAUAAAGGCCAGACUUGUCUACUAGCACCAUAGAAGGGUUUUAAAUUGACAGCAGCCUCUAAAUAUAUGAUCAGGAAAGUGAAAGUGAAGUCGCUCAUUCAUGUCCGACUGUUUUCGACCCCAUGGACUGUAGCCUACCAGGCUCCUCCGUGGGAUUUUCCAAGCAAGAAUACUGGCGUGGGUUGCCAUGUCCUUCUCCAGGGGAUCUUCCCGACCCAGGGAUUGAACCUGGGUCUCCUACAUUGCAAGCAGAUGCUUUACCGUCUGAGCCACCAGGGAAGUAAUCAGGAACCCCUGGCCUUAAUUUAGAUUUUGCAGCAGCCUGGAGAAAAUUCUACAGCCAAAGCUACAAGCACCCAUAUUACCACUGUGACCCUUUCACCUACUUACCUAAAGAGGAUAACUAGACCUUGGCUGAAGCACAUUGAUCUGUCCAAGAGAAUGACCUGCACACUUUGACUCAGCAUCUCUUUUCCAAAUUUAAAAAAAAAAGUCCUACAUAAACAAACAGGAUGGCCCUUUUCCCAAAUAUAUUUCCUUUAAUCAGAAUUCAUGGAAAAAUAAAAACUAAGGAUGGUG